CCUACGGGAGGCAGCAGUGGGGAAUAUUGGACAAUGGGCGCAAGCCUGAUCCAGCCAUACCGCGUGGGUGAAGAAGGCCUUCGGGUUGUAAAGCCCUUUUGUUGGGAAAGAAAUCCAGCCGGCUAAUACCUGGUUGGGAUGACGGUACCCAAAGAAUAAGCACCGGCUAACUUCGUGCCAGCAGCCGCGGUAAUACGAAGGGUGCAAGCGUUACUCGGAAUUACUGGGCGUAAAGCGUGCGUAGGUGGUUAUUUAAGUCCGUUGUGAAAGCCCUGGGCUCAACCUGGGAACUGCAGUGGAUACUGGAUGACUAGAAUGUGGUAGAGGGUAGCGGAAUUCCUGGUGUAGCAGUGAAAUGCGUAGAGAUCAGGAGGAACAUCCAUGGCGAAGGCAGCUACCUGGACCAACAUUGACACUGAGGCACGAAAGCGUGGGGAGCAAACAGGAUUAGAUACCCUGGUAGUCCACGCCCUAAACGAUGCGAACUGGAUGUUGGGUGCAAUUUGGCACGCAGUAUCGAAGCUAACGCGUUAAGUUCGCCGCCUGGGGGAGGUACGGUCGGUCGAGACGAGUAAACGUUAAAGUUAAGUAGUUAGGCGGCGNGAGAGCGACGACGACGACGACGGAGGAGGAG
rnacentral:rRNA from 1 species